UUUUACCCCUCAUCCGCCUUCGAAUUUUCAAACCCUGGGAUCCCAACGCCGGAGAGGUCUCAACGCCGGCGAGGCCUCGCCGAUCCGGCUGGGACUGGGGUGUCUUCUCGUCCUUCUUCGUCUUCUUCGUCUUCUUCGUCUUCUUCCUCAUGGGUCGGAGAUCAACAUCGUCGUUCACACGGCGGGCUUCCAUGGUUGACACAAAGGGGAGAAAAUCAGCUCAAAGUGUUCAUACAAAAAGGAAAGCAGACCUUGCUGGCAGUGCCUUGAAAAAACUUGCUAAUGAUGGAGAUGGCGGUGCUGAUGAUUUCACUAAUCUUUUCUUGUCGAACCAG